rnacentral:rRNA from 1 species
AGCGUACACGGUGGAUGCCCUGGCAGUCAGAGGCGAUGAAGGACGUGCUAAUCUGCGAUAAGCGUCGGUAAGGUGAUAUGAACCGUUAUAACCGGCGAUUUCCGAAUGGGGAAACCCAGUGUGUUUCGACACACUAUCAUUAACUGAAUCCAUAGGUUAAUGAGGCGAACCGGGGGAACUGAAACAUCUAAGUACCCCGAGGAAAAGAAAUCAACCGAGAUUCCCCCAGUAGCGGCGAGCGAACGGGGAGCAGCCCAGAGCCUGAAUCAGUGUGUGUGUUAGUGGAAGCGUCUGGAAAGGCGCGCGAUACAGGGUGACAGCCCCGUACACAAAAAUGCACAUGCUGUGAGCUCGAUGAGUAGGGCGGGACACGUGGUAUCCUGUCUGAAUAUGGGGGGACCAUCCUCCAAGGCUAAAUACUCCUGACUGACCGAUAGUGAACCAGUACCGUGAGGGAAAGGCGAAAAGAACCCCGGCGAGGGGAGUGAAAAAGAACCUGAAACCGUGUACGUACAAGCAGUGGGAGCCUCUUUUAUGGGGUGACUGCGUACCUUUUGUAUAAUGGGUCAGCGACUUAUAUUCUGUAGCAAGGUUAACCGAAUAGGGGAGCCGAAGGGAAACCGAGUCUUAACUGGGCGUUAAGUUGCAGGGUAUAGACCCGAAACCCGGUGAUCUAGCCAUGGGCAGGUUGAAGGUUGGGUAACACUAACUGGAGGACCGAACCGACUAAUGUUGAAAAAUUAGCGGAUGACUUGUGGCUGGGGGUGAAAGGCCAAUCAAACCGGGAGAUAGCUGGUUCUCCCCGAAAGCUAUUUAGGUAGCGCCUCGUGAAUUCAUCUCCGGGGGUAGAGCACUGUUUCGGCAAGGGGGUCAUCCCGACUUACCAACCCGAUGCAAACUGCGAAUACCGGAGAAUGUUAUCACGGGAGACACACGGCGGGUGCUAACGUCCGUCGUGAAGAGGGAAACAACCCAGACCGCCAGCUAAGGUCCCAAAGUCAUGGUUAAGUGGGAAACGAUGUGGGAAGGCCCAGACAGCCAGGAUGUUGGCUUAGAAGCAGCCAUCAUUUAAAGAAAGCGUAAUAGCUCACUGGUCGAGUCGGCCUGCGCGGAAGAUGUAACGGGGCUAAACCAUGCACCGAAGCUGCGGCAGCGACGCUUAUGCGUUGUUGGGUAGGGGAGCGUUCUGUAAGCCUGUGAAGGUGUGCUGUGAGGCAUGCUGGAGGUAUCAGAAGUGCGAAUGCUGACAUAAGUAACGAUAAAGCGGGUGAAAAGCCCGCUCGCCGGAAGACCAAGGGUUCCUGUCCAACGUUAAUCGGGGCAGGGUGAGUCGACCCCUAAGGCGAGGCCGAAAGGCGUAGUCGAUGGGAAACAGGUUAAUAUUCCUGUACUUGGUGUUACUGCGAAGGGGGGACGGAGAAGGCUAUGUUGGCCGGGCGACGGUUGUCCCGGUUUAAGCGUGUAGGCUGGUUUUCCAGGCAAAUCCGGAAAAUCAAGGCUGAGGCGUGAUGACGAGGCACUACGGUGCUGAAGCAACAAAUGCCCUGCUUCCAGGAAAAGCCUCUAAGCAUCAGGUAACAUCAAAUCGUACCCCAAACCGACACAGGUGGUCAGGUAGAGAAUACCAAGGCGCUUGAGAGAACUCGGGUGAAGGAACUAGGCAAAAUGGUGCCGUAACUUCGGGAGAAGGCACGCUGAUAUGUAGGUGAGGUCCCUCGCGGAUGGAGCUGAAAUCAGUCGAAGAUACCAGCUGGCUGCAACUGUUUAUUAAAAACACAGCACUGUGCAAACACGAAAGUGGACGUAUACGGUGUGACGCCUGCCCGGUGCCGGAAGGUUAAUUGAUGGGGUUAGCGGUAACGCGAAGCUCUUGAUCGAAGCCCCGGUAAACGGCGGCCGUAACUAUAACGGUCCUAAGGUAGCGAAAUUCCUUGUCGGGUAAGUUCCGACCUGCACGAAUGGCGUAAUGAUGGCCAGGCUGUCUCCACCCGAGACUCAGUGAAAUUGAACUCGCUGUGAAGAUGCAGUGUACCCGCGGCAAGACGGAAAGACCCCGUGAACCUUUACUAUAGCUUGACACUGAACAUUGAGCCUUGAUGUGUAGGAUAGGUGGGAGGCUUAGAAGUGUGGACGCCAGUCUGCAUGGAGCCGACCUUGAAAUACCACCCUUUAAUGUUUGAUGUUCUAACGUUGACCCGUAAUCCGGGUUGCGGACAGUGUCUGGUGGGUAGUUUGACUGGGGCGGUCUCCUCCUAAAGAGUAACGGAGGAGCACGAAGGUUGGCUAAUCCUGGUCGGACAUCAGGAGGUUAGUGCAAUGGCAUAAGCCAGCUUGACUGCGAGCGUGACGGCGCGAGCAGGUGCGAAAGCAGGUCAUAGUGAUCCGGUGGUUCUGAAUGGAAGGGCCAUCGCUCAACGGAUAAAAGGUACUCCGGGGAUAACAGGCUGAUACCGCCCAAGAGUUCAUAUCGACGGCGGUGUUUGGCACCUCGAUGUCGGCUCAUCACAUCCUGGGGCUGAAGUAGGUCCCAAGGGUAUGGCUGUUCGCCAUUUAAAGUGGUACGCGAGCUGGGUUUAGAACGUCGUGAGACAGUUCGGUCCCUAUCUGCCGUGGGCGCUGGAGAACUGAGGGGGGCUGCUCCUAGUACGAGAGGACCGGAGUGGACGCAUCACUGGUGUUCGGGUUGUCAUGCCAAUGGCACUGCCCGGUAGCUAAAUGCGGAAGAGAUAAGUGCUGAAAGCAUCUAAGCACGAAACUUGCCCCGAGA